CCUGGGAAAACAAUACAAUCACACCACCACAAAAAGUGCUAGAUAGAAAAAACAAACACAAUUUGAUGUUGACGGAAUGGGAACCUGUGGCAAUCAGCCUUCGCGCCACUAGGGGCGCUCCUGUCUUUUCUGUGUGGGUCAUUCCCUCAGUUCAUUUCCUGUGCUCUGUAAUUAGUUGAUUAGUUGCUCCACCUGUUUGUAGUAUUUGAGUCAUGCCUUUUGUUUCAUACUUUGCUGGUGUGAACGUGGUCGUAGGCUUGCACGCUACGCCAAUGUCACUUGUGGAGUUUUUUUUUCCUUUGGAUGUCCUGUGUUUUUGUCUCUGAGGAGAAACUCUUACUGAAGACACCAACCAAAACUACUAAGUCUACUACAGGUCAAGACACAUCUACAGAGAACAGUUGCUCACCCACCCUGGAUCAAACAUCUGGAGAAGCCAAAGUAAAUCUUUGAUCUUGAAUGGAAAGAGCACAAGAUGAGUGUUGUUGUCUAGAGGAACAGCGCUUUCUGGAUACAUGACGUGAUGAGUGGUUUUGGCCCCGACAUCUGAUUCGUAGCCUUUGCACAAGUCCUGCAGAGGUCUGGACUGGACUCUACAACAUCUGGAACGGGAGGGAAAACCUCAAACAGGUCAUCCACCGUUGAGUUGAAGAAGGUGAAGUUGUGACGUUCUGAUUGAAGAUGCUGUUAAUGUCAUACAGACACAAACAGGACACCAUCAUCGUCCAACACGUUAAUAACAUGACACACUUGUGUUCUCAUAUCUUUUUAUGAGAUCCUAUAUUUUCUCAUGAUAUGUUUUGUUGAAAGCAUGUUUUGGGAUGUGGGUAGUGAAGUGGGCAUAGGUGGCCUGUUUCGCUAGAUUAGCUUCUACUACGUGAAUAGUUUUGAAGUGACAGAAAGGAAGAUAAUCUAUAUUUCAUUAUUUGUUUUAAAACACUGUUUCGAAUGGAGAAUUCUUUUCAAAGCUACUUGUGCUAAGAGGAAUGAAAUACAUGAAGUAAAAAUUUGAAAAAACUGUGGUACAAUUUAAUAUAAUAUUAUUAAUCACAACAAUGACAUUUAGGGAAAGAUAAAGAAUGUGAGAGAACACAUUUUGACCCCUUUAAAAUAAAUUCACACUUACCGUCCACCAGUUGAAAA